rnacentral:rRNA from 1 species
UACGGAGGGUGCAAACGUUGCUCGGAAUCAUUGGGCGUAAAGCGCACGUAGGCGGCCUGAUAAGUCGGGUGUGAAAGCCCUGGGCUCAACCCAGGAAGUGCACUCGAAACUGUCAGGCUUGAAUAUGGAAGAGGGUCGCGGAAUUCCCGGUGUAGAGGUGAAAUGCGCAGAUAUCAGGAAGAACACCGGUGGCGAAGGCGGUGGGCUGGGCCGGCACUGACGCUGAGGAGCGAAAGCGUGGGGAGCGAACAGG